rnacentral:rRNA from 1 species
GAUGGACGCUGGCGGCGUGCCUAAUACAUGCAAGUCGAGCGAACGGACGAGAAGCUUGCUUCUCUGAUGUUAGCGGCGGACGGGUGAGUAACACGUGGAUAACCUACCUAUAAGACUGGGAUAACUUCGGGAAACCGUAGCUAAUACCGGAUAAUAUUUUGAACCGCAUGGUUCAAAAGUGAAAGACGGUCUUGCUGUCACUUAUAGAUGGAUCCGCGCUGCAUUAGCUAGUUGGUAAGGUAACGGCUUACCAAGGCAACGAUGCAUAGCCGACCUGAGAGGGUGAUCGGCCACACUGGAACUGAGACACGGUCCAGACUCCUACGGGAGGCAGCAGUAGGGAAUCUUCCGCAAUGGGCGAAAGCCUGACGGAGCAACGCCGCGUGAGUGAUGAAGGUCUUCGGAUCGUAAAACUCUGUUAUUAGGGAAGGACAUAUGUGUAAGUAACUGUGCACAUCUUGACGGUACCUAAUCAGAAAGCCACGGCUAACUACGUG